AGUAACACGUGAGUGACCUGCCUUUUAGACUGGAACAACUUACCGAAAGGUGAGCUAAUGCCGGAUGAGUUAUAUAAGUGCAUGUUUAUAUAGGAAAAGUUGGGGAGACCUGACGCUGAAAGAUGGACUCGCGUCCCAUUAGCUAGUUGGUGGGGUAAUGGCCUACCAAGGCGACGAUGGGUAGCCGGCCUGAGAGGGUGGCCGGCCACACUGGGACUGAGACACGGCCCAGACUCCUACGGAAGGCAGCAG
rnacentral:rRNA from 1 species